rnacentral:rRNA from 1 species
GAUGAACGCUGGCGGCGUGCUUAAUACAUGCAAGUCGAACGAAGAGCCUUUGCAGCAAUGCGAGGGUUUCUUAGUGGCGAGCGGGUGCGUAACGCGUUGGUGACCUGCCCCAAAGUGUGGAAUAACAGUUCGAAAGGACUGCUAAUACCGCAUGUGGUCAUCGGGAUUAGAAGCCGAUGACUAAAGCAGUAAUGCGCUUUGGGAGGGACCUGCGUACCAUCAGCUAGUUGGUGAGGUAAUGGCCCACCAAGGCUUCGACGGGUAGGGGACCUGAGAGGGUGGUCCCCCACACUGGCACUGAAACACGGGCCAGACACCUACGGGUGGCAGCAGUAGGGAAUAUUGGGCAAUGGGCGAAAGCCUGACCCAGCAACGCCACGUGCACGAUGAAGGUCUUCGGAUCGUAAAGUGCUUUUCUGAGAGAUGAGAAAGGACAGUAUCUCAGGAAUAAGUCUCGGCUAACUACGUGCCAGCAGCCGCCGUAACAC